UGAACGCUGGCGGCGUGCCUAAUACAUGCAAGUCGAGCGAACGGACGAGAAGCUUGCUUCUCUGAUGUUAGCGGCGGACGGGUGAGUAACACGUGGAUAACCUACCUAUAAGACUGGGAUAACUUCGGGAAACCGGAGCUAAUACCGGAUAAUAUUUUGAACCGCAUGGUUCAAAAGUGAAAGACGGUCUUGCUGUCACUUAUAGAUGGAUCCGCGCUGCAUUAGCUAGUUGGUAAGGUAACGGCUUACCAAGGCAACGAUGCAUAGCCGACCUGAGAGGGUGAUCGGCCACACUGGAACUGAGACACGGUCCAGACUCCUACGGGAGGCAGCAGUAGGGAAUCUUCCGCAAUGGGCGAAAGCCUGACGGAGCAACGCCGCGUGAGUGAUGAAGGUCUUCGGAUCGUAAAACUCUGUUAUUAGGGGAGAACAUAUGUGUAAGUAACUGUGCACAUCUUGACGGUACCUAAUCAGAAAGCCACGGCUAACUACGUG
rnacentral:rRNA from 1 species